rnacentral:rRNA from 1 species
GAUGAACGCUGGCGGCGUGCCUAAUACAUGCAAGUCGAGCGAACAGACGAGGAGCUUGCUCCUCUGACGUUAGCGGCGGACGGGUGAGUAACACGUGGAUAACCUACCUAUAAGACUGGGAUAACUUCGGGAAACCGGAGCUAAUACCGGAUAAUAUAUUGAACCGCAUGGUUCAAUAGUGAAAGACGGUUUUGCUGUCACUUAUAGAUGGAUCCGCGCCGCAUUAGCUAGUUGGUAAGGUAACAGCUACCAAGGCAACGAUGCGUAGCCGACCUGAGAGGGUGAUCGGCCACACUGGAACUGAGACACGGUCCAGACUCCUACGGGAGGCAGCAGUAGGGAAUCUUCCGCAAUGGGCGAAAGCCUGACGGAGCAACGCCGCGUGAGUGAUGAAGGUCUUCGGAUCGUAAAACUCUGUUAUUAGGGAAGAACAAAUGUGUAAGUAACUAUGCACGUCUUGACGGUACCUAAUCAGAAAGCCACGGCUAACUACGUG